GAUGAACGCUGACAGAAUGCUUAACACAUGCAAGUCUACUUGAUUCUACUUCGGUAGUUGAUGGUGGCGGACGGGUGAGUAACGCGUAAAGAAUCUGCCCUUUAGUUUGGGAUAACCUUUGGAAACGAAGGCUAAUACCUGAUAUUAUGGAGACGUCGCAUGGCGACUCCAUGAAAGCUAUAUGCGCUAGAGGAGGACUUUGCGUCCCAUUAGCUAGUUGGUGAGGUAAUGGCUCACCAAGACCGCGAUGGGUAGCCGGCCUGAGAGGGUGAUCGGCCACAAGGGAACUGAGACACGGUCCUUACUCCUACGGGAGGCAGCAGUGGGGAAUAUUGGACAAUGGGCCACAAGCCCGAUCCAGCAAUUCUGUGUGCACGAUGAAGGUCUUCGGAUUGUAAAGUGCUUUCAGUAGGGAAGAAAAAAAUGACGGUACCUACAGAAGAAGCGACGGCUAAAUAUGUGCCAGCAGCCGCCGUAA
rnacentral:rRNA from 1 species